CGGCCAUAGUGGGUGAUAGCCCUGUACGCGAAAAUCUCUUAGUCAUGAAAUCGAGUAGGACGGAGCACGAGAAACUUGGUCUGAAUAUGGGGGGACCAUCCUCCAAGGCGAAAUACUACUGACUGACCGAUAGUGAACUAGUACCGUGAGGGAAAGGCGAAAAGAACCCCGGAGAGGGGAGUGAAAUAGAUCCUGAAACCGUAUGCGUACAAGCAGUGGGAGCC
rnacentral:rRNA from 1 species